rnacentral:rRNA from 1 species
UACAGAGGUCUCAAGCGUUGUUCGGAUUCAUUGGGCGUAAAGGGUGCGUAGGCGGCGCGGUAAGUCGGGUGUGAAAUCUCGGAGCUUAACUUCGAAACUGCAUUCGAUACUGCCGUGCUUGAGGACUGGAGAGGAGACUGGAAUUUACGGUGUAGCGGUGAAAUGCGUAGAUAUCGUAAGGAAGACCAGUGGCGAAGGCGGGUCUCUGGACAGUUCCUGACGCUGAGGCUCGAAGGCUAGGGGAGCAAAAGGG